AGGUGUGCUAGGGAAUAAAUGAAAUGCCUGGGACAUCAUCAUUAAGUGGCGUCUGAUGCAUAAGCAAUGCCCUAGGAAUGGGGGUGCCUGCCUUGGUCUCUAAAGGAUGGGUUCAAAAGGCAAGAGCAACACACAAGAAGAUAGCUUCAAGCAGGAGAAAAAGCUUGGCCAAGGGCCCAAAGGGGAUAUGACCCUUCAGCAAACUGACAUGCUGAAAGCUGCCCUAUGGAGAGGCUCAUGUGGCAAGGAACAGAGGGUGGCUUCUGGCCAACACCCAUUGAGGAACUCAGGCCCUCAGUCAAACAGCCUGCAAGGAACUGAACCCUGCCAAUAACCCAGCUGUGUUGAAAGCUUCCCUUUGGAGAAGAACUGAGGGCUGUCUCUGGUCAAUAGCACUGAGGAACUGAAUCCAGCAAACAAUUAUGUGAAGAAACUUGGAAGCUUGUCCUCCCCUCCAGUUGAGCUUUGAGAUGACUGCCGCCCCAGUGGACACCUUGAUU
rnacentral:antisense_RNA from 1 species